rfam:Canis lupus familiaris chromosome 7, whole genome shotgun sequence.
AGGAGGAACAGCCCCAGUGGCGGGGCAGCUCUGGAAACCUGGAUUCGGCUCCGGCAGGAACUCCGUCUGCAGGGCCUGGAGGCUCCGGGGCGGG